rnacentral:rRNA from 1 species
GAUGAACGCUGGCGGCGUGCCUAACACAUGCAAGUCGAACGGAAAGGCCCUGCUUUUGUGGGGGGCUCGAGUGGCGAACGGGUGAGUAACACGUGAGUAACCUGCCUUUGACUUGGGGAUAACUUCAGGAAACCGGGGCUAAUACCGGAUAGGAGCUCCUGCGACAUGGUGGGGGUUGGAAAGCUCCGGCGGUUGGGGAUGGACUCGCGGCUUAUCGGCUUGUUGGUGGGGUAGUGGCUUACCAAGGCUUUGGCGGGUAGCCGGCCUGAGAGGGUGACCAGCCACAUUGGGACUGAGGUACGGCCCAGAGGCCUACGGGGGACAGCAGUGGGGAGUAUGACACAAUGAGCGGAAGCCUGAUGCAGCAGCGCCGCGUGCGGAAUGACGGCCUUCGGGUUGUAAACCGCUUUCGCCUGUGACGAAGCGUGAGUGACGGUAAUGGGUAAAGAAGCACCGGCUAACUACGUG